rnacentral:misc_RNA from 1 species
UUUCCGUAGGUGAACCUGCGGAAGGAUCAUUAAAGUUAUAGUCCCCUGGCCCUCUGGGCUGGGGUCUUCUAUACCACCCUUUGUUUAUUACACCUUUGUUGCUUUGGCAGGCCUGCCUCCGGGCUGCUGGCUCCGGCCGGCGAGCGUCUGCCAGAGGACCUAAACUCUGUUUGUCUAUAACGUCUGAGUACUAUAUAAUAGUUAAAACUUUCAACAACGGAUCUCUUGGCUCUG